rnacentral:rRNA from 1 species
CACGUAGGGGGCAAGCGUUGUCCGGAUUUAUUGGGCGUAAAGAGCUCGUAGGUGGUUCGGUUAGUCGGAUGUGAAAUCUCCAGGCUCAACCUGGAGGGGUCAUUCGAUACUGCCGUGACUAGAGUUCGGUAGAGGAGUGUGGAAUUCCUGGUGGAGCGGUGAAAUGCGCAGAGAUCAGGAGGAACACCCGUAGCGAAGGCGGCACUCUGGGCCGAUACUGACACUGAGGAGCGAAAGCGUGGGGAGCGAACAGG